rnacentral:tRNA from 1 species
GCAUCCUUAGUACAGUGGUUAGUACACUUCACGUGGACAUCAGAGACGUAGGUUCAAUUCCCACAGGACACA